UACAACAGUAGCUAAAAUGGGGAGAAGUCUGUCCAUAAUAAAACACUACUCUGUCUUCUUAACACUAUCAACAAGGCAGGUCCUACAGGCCCUAGUUUUGUCGCACCUAGACUACUGUGGUCAGAUGCCACAAAGAAAGACUUGGGAAAAUUGCAGUUGGCUCAGAACAGGGCAGCAUGGCUGGUCCUUAUAAGUACACGGAGAGCUAACAUUAAUGACAUGCAUGUCAAUCUCUCAUGGCUCAAUGUGGAAGAGAGAUUAACUUCAUCACUACUUGUUUUUGUAAGAGGUGUUGACAAGCUGAAUGUACCGAGCUGUCUGUUUAAAAUACUUGCACACAGCUUGGACACCCAUGCAUACCCCACAAGACAUGCCACCAGAGGUCUCGUCACAUUCCCCAAGUCCAGAACAGACUAUAUGAGGCGCACAGUACUACAUAGCCAUGACUUCACGGAACUCUAUUCCACAUCAGGUAAUUGUUGAAAGAAGUAAAAUCAGAUUUUAAAAAACAGGUAAAAAUACACCUUAUGGAAUAACGGGGACUGUGAAGAGACACACACAAAGGUUCUUUAAUGUGUUUGGACCCCAGGAAGAGUAGCUGCUGCCUUCGCAGUAGCUAAUGGAGAUCCCUAAUAAAAACAAAUGAAUGUCCUGGCUCUUGCCAUACCCAUUUACCAUAAAGGAAUAAUCCUGCAUCAUGAUGUGUAAUCAAUGCCAGGUGCCGCAGUCUGCCGCUGUGUCAGGGGUCCAGGGUCUGAUGACGGGCACUGCGACUGUCCUGGCCACCAGCAAGGUGAAGAAGAAACCUGCCUGUCUGAGUUUCAGUAUUGAAGAGGUAGCUAGUAUGAUGGCUGUCCUGUCUCCUCUCCGGGAACAAUUAUUUGGCAGUUAUAUGAAGGGACUGGUGACAUGCGUGUCCAAUCUUAUCUGCUAAUAAGAGCUGUUUGGGUGGGUGCAGGCUCCCACAAGGCACUUUGCAGAUAAAAUAACAUACAGGACAACUUGGAUGUAGGCUCAGUCUCAGUAUUGAAGAGGUAGCUAGUAUGGCUGUCCUGUCUCCUGUCCAGGAACAAUAAUUUGGCAGUUAUAUGAAGGGACAGAUCAAUGAAAGGUAUUUAUAAAGCCCUUUAACAUCAGCCAAUGUCAAAGGGCUAUACAAAAACCCAACCUAAAACCUCAAACAGCAAGCAAUGCAGAUGUAGAAGCACGGUGGCUUGGAAAAACUCCCAUGAAAGGCAGGAACCUAGGAAGAAACCUGGAGAGGAACCAGGCUCUGAGCGGUGGCCAGUCCUCUUCUACAUGGCCAAGAUGUUCAAACGUUCAUAGAUACCAGCAGGGUCAAAUAAUAAUCAUCACAGUGGUUGUAGAGGGUGCAACAGGUCAGCACCUCAUGAGUAUAUGUCAGUUGGCUUUUCAUAGCCGAGCAUUCAGAGCUUGAGACAGCAGGUGCGGUAGAGAGAGAGUCGAAAACAGUAGGUCCGGGACAAGGUAGCACGUCUGGUGAACAGGUCAGGGUUCCAUAGCCGCAGGCAGAACAGUUUUAACUGGAGCAGCAGCACGACCAGGUGAACUGGGGACAGCAAGGAGUCAUCAGGCCACGUAGAAAUUCUAGGGACAAUAAGGAGACCUGCGCUUUGUUACCGUAGCGUACGUGUAGGUAUGUACGGCAGGACAGAAAUUGGAGAGAUGGGUAGGAGCAAGCCCAUGUAAUGCUUUGCAGGUUAGCAGUAAAAACUUGACAUCAGCCCUAGCCAUAACAGGAAGCCAGUGUAGAGAGUCUAACGCUGGAGUAAUAUGAUCCAAUUUUGGGGUUCUAGUCAAGAUUUUAGCAGCCGUGUUUAGCACUAACCAAAAUUUAUUUAGUGCUUUAUCCGGGUAGCCAGAAGGUAGAGCAUUGUAGUAGUCUAAUCUAGAAGUGACAAAAGCAUGGAUUAGCUUUUCUGCAUAAUUUUUGGACAAAAAGUUACGAAGAAUGAAAUAAGCUGUCCUUGAAAUAUUCUUCAUACAGUGGCUUGCGAAAGUAUUCAACCCCUUGGCGUUUUUCCUAUUUUGUUGCCUUACAACCUGGAAUUAAAAUGAAUUUUUGGGCGGUUUGUAUCAUUUGAUUUGCACAACAUGCCUACCACUUUGAAGAUGCAAAAUACGUUUUAUUGUGAAACAAACAAGAAAUAAGACAAAAAAAAACGGAAAACUUCAGGGUGCAUAACUAUUCACCCCUUCCGAAGUCAAUACUUUGUAGAGCCACCUUUUGCAGCAAUUAAAGCUGCAAGUUUCUCAGGGUAUGUCUCUAUAAGCUUGGCACAUCUAGCCACUGGGAUUUUUGCCCAGUCUUCGAGGCAAAACUGCUCCAGCUCCUUCAAGUUGAAUGUGUUCCGCUAGUAUAUAGCAAUUUUUAAGUCAUACCACAGAUUCUCAAUUGGAUUGAGGUCUGGGCUUUGACUAGGCUAUUCCAAGACAUUUAAAUGUUUCCCCUUAAACCACUCAAGUGUUGUUUUAGCAGUAUGCUUAGGGUCAUUGUCCUGCUGGAAGGUGAACCUCCGUCCCAGUAUCAAAUCUCUGGAAGACGAAAUGGGUUUCCCUCAAGAAUUUCCCUGUAUUUAGCGCCAUCCAUCAUUCCUUCAAUUCUGACCUGUUUCCCAGUCCCUGCCGAGGAAAAACAUCCCCACAGCAUGAUGUUGCCACCACCAUGCUUCGCUGUGGGGAUGUUGUUCUCGGGGUAAUGAGAGGUGUUGGGUUUGCGCCAGACAUAGUAUUUUCUUUGAUGGCCAAAAAGCUCAAUUUUAGUCUCAUCUAACCAGAGUACCUUCUUCCAUAUGUUUGGGGAGUCUGCCACAUGCCUUUUGGCGAACACCAAACGUGUUUGCUUAUUUAUUUAUUUUUUAAACAAUGGCUUUUCUGGCCACUCUUCCGUAAAGCCCAGUUCUGUGGAGUGUACGGCUUAAAGUGGUCCUAUGGACAGAUACUCCAAUCUCCUCUGUGGAGCUUUACAGCUCCUUCAGGGUUAUCUUUUGUCUCUUUAUUGCCUCUCUGAUUAAUGCCCUCCUUGCCUGGUCCGUGAGUUUUGGUGGGCGGCCCUCUCUUGGCAGGUUUGUUGUGGUGCCAUAUUCUUUCAAUUCCUUAAUAAUGGAUUAAAUGGUGCUCCGUGGGAUGUUAAAAGUUUCUGAUAUUUUAUAACCCAACCCUGAUCUGUACUUCUCCACAAAUUUUCCCUGACCUGUUUGGAGAGCUCCUUGAUCUUCAUGGUGCCACUUGCUUAGUGGUGUUGCAGAAUCUGGGGCCUUCAGAACAGGUGUAUAUAUACUGAGAUCAUGUGACAGAUCAUGUAACACUUAGAUUGCACACAGGUGGACUUUAUUUAACUCAUUAUGUGACUGCUGAAGGUAAUUGGUUGCACCAGAUCUUAUUUACGGGCUUCAUAGCAAAGAGCGUAAAUACGUAUGCAGUCACCACGUUUCCGUUUUUUUUUGUUGAUUUUUUUUAACCAAGUUUUAUUUUUCACUUCAUUAAUUUGGACUAUUUUGUGUAUGUCCAUUACAUGAAAUCCAAAUAAAAAUCCAUUCAAAUUACAGGUUGUAAUGCCACAAAAUAGGAAAAACACCAAGGGGGAUGAAUACUUUUGCAAGGCACUGUAUGUUUCUCAAAAAGUGUUGACAUGCUUGUCAAAUCUUAUCUGCUAAUAAGAGCUGUUUGGGUGGGUGCAGACUCCCCCAAGGCACUUUGCAGAUAAAAUUACUUAGACAAGACAAAGUGGCUGUAGCCUGAGUCUCAGUAUUGAAGAGUUAGCUAGUAUGGCUGUCUGGUCUCUUUUCCAGGAACAAUUAUUUGGCAGUUAUAUGAAGGGACUGGUGACAUGCGUGUCCAAUCUUAUCUGCUAAUAAGAGCUGUUUUGGUGAAUGCAGGCUCCCACAAGGCACUUUGCAGAUAAAAUGACUUAGAGGACAACGUUGCUGUAGGCUGCUCGAUUGAAAUAUGUGUGCGUGUUGCAGCUCCCGUCCCUCUAUGUUACUCCAGAGCCGCAGCUCAGGUACAGUUGAAGUCGGAAGUUUACAAACACCUUAGCCAAAUACAUUUAAACUCAGUUUUUCACAAUUCCUGACAUUUAAUCCUAGUAAAAAUUUCCCAUCUGGUCAGAUAAGAUCACCACUUUAUUUUAAGAAUCUGAAAUGUCAGAAUAAUAGUCGAGAGAAUGAUUUAUUUAAGCUUUUAUUUCUUUCAUCACAUUCCCAGUGGGUCAGAAGUUUACAUACACUCAAUUAGUAUUUGGUAGCAUUGUCUUUAAAUUGUUUAACUUGGGUCAAACGUUUCGGGUAGCCUUCCACAAGCUUCCCACAAUAAGUUGGGUGAAUUGUGGCCCAUUCCUCCUGACAGAGCUGGUGUAAUUGAGUCAGGUUUGUAGGCCUCAUUGCUCACACACCCUUUUUCAGUUCUGCCCACAAAUGUUCUGUGGGAUUGAGGUCAGGGCUUUGUGAUGGCCACUCCAAUACCUUGGCUUUGUUGUCCUUAAGCCAUUUUGCCACAACUUUGGAAGUAUGCUUGGGGUCAUUGCCCAUUUGGAAGACCCAUUUGCGACCAAGCUUCCGGACUGAUGUCUUGAGAUGUGGCCUCAAUAUAUCCAGAUCAUUUUCCGCCCUCAUGAUGCCAUCUAUUUUGUGAAGUGCACCAAUCCCUCAUGCAGCAAAGCACCCCCACAACAUGAUGCUGCCACCACCGUGCUUCACGGUUGGGAUGGUGUUCUUCGGCUUGCAAGCAUCCCCCUUUUUCCACCAAACAUAACGAUGGUCAUUAAGCUCGCAUCCGCUACAAGACCAUGGUGCUUGCCUAUGGAGAUGUGAGGGGAACGGCACCUCCGUACCUUCAGGCUCUGAUCAGGCCCUACACCCAAACAAGGGCACUGCGUUCAUCCACCUCUGGCCUGCUCGCCUCCCUACCUCUGAGGAAGUACAGUUCCCGCUCAGCCCAGUCAAAACUGUUCGCUGCUCUGGCACCCCAAUGGUGGAACAAACUCCCUCACGACGCCGGGUCAGCGGAGUCAAUCACCACCUUCCGGAGACACCUGAAACCCCACCUCUUUAAGGAAUACCUAGCAUAGGAUAAAGUAAUCCUUCUAACCCCCCCCUUAAAAGAUUUAGAUGUACUAUUGUAAAGUGGCUGUUCCACUGGAUAUAAGGUGAAUGCACCAAUUUGUAAGUCGCUCUGGAUAAGAGCGUCUGCUAAAUGACUUAAAUGUAAAUGUAAAUUAUGGCCAAACGGUUCUAUUUUUGAUUCAUCAGACCAGAGGACAUUUCUCUAAAAAGUACAAUCUUUGUCCCCAUGUGCAGUUGCAAACCGUAGUCUGGCUUUUUAUGGCGGUUUUGGAGCAGUGGCUUCGUCCUUGCUGAGCGACCUUUCAGGUUGUCUAUAUAGGACUCAUUUUACUGUGGCUAUAGAUACUUUUGUACCUGUUUCCUCCAGCAUCUUCACAAGGUCCUUUGCUGUUGUUCUGGGAUUGAUUUGCACUUUUCGCACCAAAGUACGCUCAUCUCUAGGAGGCAGAACACGUCUCCUUCCUGAACAGUAUGACAGCUGCGUGGUCCCAUGGUGUUUAUACUUGCGUACUAUUGUUUGAACAGAUGAACGUAGUACAUUCAGGCAUUUGGAAAUUGCUCCCAAGGAUGUACCAGACUUGUGGAGGUCUACAUUUUAUUUCUGAGGUCUUGGCUGAUUUCUGUUGAUUUUCCCAUGAUGUCAACCAAAAAGGCACUGAGUUUGAAGGUAGGCCUUGAAAAUUAUCCACAGGUACACCUCCAAUUGACUCAAAUUAUGUCAAUUAGCCUAUCAGAAACUCCUAAAGCCAUGACAUCAUUUUCUGGAAUUUCAGGCUAUUUAAAGGCAAAGUCAACUUUGUGUAUGUAAACUUCUGACCCACUGGAAUUGUGAUACAGUGAAUUAUAAGUGAAAUAAUCUGUCUGUUAAUAAUUGUUGGAAAGAUUACUUGUGUCAUGCACAGAGUAGAUGUCCUAACCGACUUGAAUUUGUUCUUAUUAACUUACUUGCCUAGUUAAAUAAAGGUUACACACACCCCAAAAAUUAUUCUGUUGGCAUUUACCUAUGUCCCCAUUACCAGUAAAAUACACUGCUCAAAAAAAUAAAGGGGACACUUAAACAACACAAUGUAACUCCAAGUCAAUCACACUUCUGUGAAAUCAAACUGUCCACUUAGGAAGCAACACUGAUUGACAAUAAAUUGCACAUGCUGUUGUGCAAAUGGAAUAGACAAAAGGUGGAAAUUAUAGGCAAUUAGCAAGACACCCCCAAAAAAGGAGUGAUUCUGCAGGUGGUGACCACAGACCACUUCUCAGUUCCUAUGCUUCCUGGCUGAUGUUUUGGUCACUUUUGAAUGCUGGCGGUGCUCUCACUCUAGUGGUAGCAUGAGACGGAGUCUACAACCCACACAAGUGGCUCAGGUAGUGCAGUUCAUCCAGGAUGGCACAUCAAUGCGAGCUGUGGCAAAAAGGUUUGCUGUGUCUGUCAGCGUAGUGUCCAGAGCAUGGAGGCGCUACCAGGAGACAGGCCAGUACAUCAGGAGACGUGGAGGAGGCCGUAGGAGGGCAACAACCCAGCAGCAGGACCGCUACCUCCACCUUUGUGCAAGGAGGUGCACUGCCAGCGCCCUGCAAAAUGACCUCCAGCAGGCCACAAAUGUGCAUGUGUCAGCAUAUGGUCUCACAAGGGGUCUGAGGAUCUCAUCUCGGUACCUAUUGGCAGUCAGGCUACCUCUGGCGAGCACAUGGAGGGCUGUGCGGCCCCACAAAGAAAUGCCACCCCACACCAUGACUGACCCAUCGCCAAACCGGUCAUGCUGGAGGAUGUUGCAGGCAGCAGAACGUUCUCCACGGCGUCUCCAGACUCUGUCACGUCUGUCACAUGUGCUCAUGUGCUCAGUGUGAACCUGCUUUCAUCUGUGAAGAGCACAGGGCGCCAGUGGCGAAUUUGCCAAUCUUGGUGUUCUCUGGCAAAUGCCAAACGUCCUGCACGGUGUUGGGCUGUAAGCACAACCCCCACCUGUGGACGUCGGGCCCUCAUACCACCCUCAUGGAGUCUGUUUCUGACCGUUUGAGCAGACACAUGAACAUUUGUGGCCUGCUGGAGGUCAUUUUGCAGGGCGCUGGCAGUGCACCUCCUUGCACAAAGGCGGAGGUAGCGGUCCUGCUGCUGGGUUGUUGCCCUCCUACGGCCUCCUCCACGUCUCCUGAUGUACUGGCCUGUCUUCUGGUAGCGCCUCCAUGCUCUGGACACUACGCUGACAGACACAGCAAACCUUUUUGCCACAGCUCGCAUUGAUGUGCCAUCCUGGAUGAACUGCACUACCUGAGCCACUUGUGUGGGUUGUAGACUCCGUCUCAUGCUACCACUAGAGUGAGAGCACCGCCAGCAUUCAAAAGUGACCAAAACAUCACCCAGGAAGCAUAGGAACUGAGAAGUGGUCUGUGGUCACCACCUGCAGAAUCACUCCUUUUUUGGGGGUGUCUUGCUAAUUGCCUAUAAUUUCCACCUUUUGUCUAUUCCAUUUGCACAACAGCAUGUGCAAUUUAUUGUCAAUCAGUGUUGCUUCCUAAGUGGACAGUUUGAUUUCACAGAAGUGUGAUUGACUUGGAGUUACAUUGUGCUGUUUAAGUGUUCCCUUUAUUUUUUUGAGCAGUGUAUAACCAAAACCUAUUUCUUUCACUUACCGUGCCGUUUCGUUGUUCAUUUAUUCAGUCGUUUCAUUCUCAACCAGGACGUCUAUGAAACACCGUUUGGGUCUUUGCGGUUUUAAAAUAUACUAUAUAACAAUAUUUGACAUAUUUGUCAAUUAAGCUUGUUGACCAUUCAGGACCUGAAUAUGACUGGACGUCACAAUAGUGUAACAAGUUCAUAAUUUUUUUACGUAGUUAUUACACAUUGAUUACACUAUCACUCGUAUAUUUAUAUGUCACAACGAUUCAUCGAUACGUAUGCUAUGAUGCUGGUAAAGUUGUCUCGCGCUCCUACAGUGCUGGCCAUUAAAAAAAGCUAGCUAGCUCAUGGAUGCAAACAAUGUUCUUCCCCAAAAUCAUUGCAAAAGGACAUCUGAUUCAGUAGCUAUAGUUAGCUAGGUGUCAUCUAAAAUAACCCCAAUUUAUAAGACAGUUCAUAAUUGAUUAAUGGUGGUUAUUUCACCACUAAGGCCUAUUUGCCUUACCUCCCUUAUCCUGCCUCAUUUGCACACACUGUAUUUAGACUUUUUCUAUUGUAUUAUUGACUGUGUUUGUUUAUGCCAUGUGUAACUCUGUGUUGUUGGUGUUGCACUGCUUUGCUUUAUCUUGGCCAGGUCGCAGUUGUAAAUUAGAACUUGUUCUCAACUAGCCUACCUGGUUAAAUAAAUAAAUAAAAAUAAACAGCAGACAUUGUGGGCUAAGUUAGGAAUGCUGUGUUGCACGUGUAGCGCAAACUGUUGGAUCAUUACAUCAUGUACCUAUGUUAUAUAAGUAUGCACGUCAGCGUUAAACUGGACAUCGGCCAAUACCGAUGUUGGCAUUUUUAGUUAAUUUCGGCCGAUUCCAAUACGUACACCGAUAUAUUGUGCAUCCCUAUUUUAAAGUAUUUUACUGUUGUCAUUUUGUACUCUGCCAUUAGCUACGUCUGUACUAUUGUAAUAAAUACCAUUUAAAAUAACACAAGCAUAUUGCUAUUACAUUGUUAUAACUAACUUCUUUCUAAAACAGGGUUUCUCACAAACUUAUAAACAGAUACAGAGACCCACAGACACACCCAAGGACAGAGGGCUGACGUAAACCUUUCAUAAACACUGAUAAGAAAAGGGUGCUUGGGUCCGCAUUUCACGAGAUAAUAAGACACACACACACAUACCCAAGGACAGAGGGCUGACUACGCACACACAAAAUCUCCUGUUUAGCUGAACAUUUGGUAACAAAGAACUUUUGCUACAAGACUCAGAAGGAUGACGCCCAGCUCAUCAGGACCAAUCUGAGAAGACAACAACCUGUCCAGAACCAACCAAAGGACCAGAACUUCCAGACUCAACCUACUUUCUGUGUUGUAUAAAAUGUCUAUGCAUUCUGUUAUCUGGGCUUUUUCUGGAGGUUCUCUAUGAGCUAAAGCAACGAGACAGUAUACGCUUGUACCAGAUAUCUUUACUCAUAAUUAAACUGUCGCUUGUCAUACAAUUUA